UCCUGGCUGGCUUAGUCAGUAGAGCAUGGGACUCUUGAUCUCGGGGUUGUGAGUUCGAGCCCCAUGCUGGGCG
rnacentral:tRNA from 1 species